rnacentral:rRNA from 1 species
AUGGCUAAGUCAAAUGCAUUGGCUGCAACACUGUUGCUUGUCAUGGUGGUGUCCCUCGCCACACUAGAGGGUGUUCAUGGCGUCUGCGGCAUGUCGAAUGAUGAAUUCAAGCUUUGCCAGCCCGCGGCGGCAGUGAAUAACCCGACAGAGAGUCCGUCGGGUGAGUGUUGUGCUGCGCUUGGGAAGGCCAAUCUAUCAUGCAUUUGCCGCUACAAAGGCAUCGCCGGCAUAUGGCUGAAAAUGUACCACAUCGACGCAAAGCGCGCCAUGGCUCUGCCCGGCAAGUGCGGUCUCACCAUGCCCAACAACUGCUCGUGAUGAU